UACAGGAAAAGGUUGGUUUAAUUGCAGAAUAAAUUGAUAGUACAGAACAGCAAUAAAAACACUGCCACAUCGCUCCUAUUUUACAUGACUUUUACAUUUCUCCGAUAUGUAACAUACAUUGGUGUUCAGCUUAUGAUACAAACGGCAAUACAUACAUCAGUAUAAUAAUACACAACAUAACAUAGAUACAGGCUCACAGAGCAACUUAGCCCCAUCACUUUCAGACAACAGAUGGCUGUGUUAGUACACACACAAUAAGACACAGAGCAUUCAACCGCCAUUUUGAAAUGAGCUCCUAGGCCCGUAUACAUAUAGCAUUUAAGAGUGGGAGUACUGAUCUAGGAUAAAAUCAUCCUUGUCCAUUAGUGCUGAGUGAUUAACUGACAUUUCAGUUAUUUUCCGUAUUUUAACCACUAAUUGACAGACGUUGGUUCAAUUAUUGUUAAGCUCAGAAAACAUGAACUACAAUGACCAUAAUCCAUUGCGCGCCUACUGGUCCGGUCUGUUUCCUUAACGCCUACUACGUAAAAGAGACAGAUGAAUGUGCGAUCGAGAGAGAGCUCUCGCUUCAUGAGGUAUUUUUUCUUGAAAAUACAUAAUUUAAGUGUUUGAUAGUUGGUAUUCAGCAGUCAUAAAAGUAUGCCUUAUUUACUUUGAAGAACUACUAAAAUAGUGAUUUAGUCAGACAGCAUAGGCAGCAGCUCUAUGGAGAUGAGAUGAUGACUUGGAAUUAAAUAAUAAAGUAAUCAAAUAAAACAUGUUUAUAUACACAACAACUGAAAUAUUUUAUUAAAGGAAAAUAAUGUGAAUAAACAAUGGUUAAUAUAAGCAGUAAUGUGCAGUCACUACCAUCAUGGGACUUUUAUGAAUUGUUUUAUUCUGAGUGGUUACAGCAUUCAACCCACAUAAUGCAUAGUGCAUUAAAUGUUAAAAAAAAUAUAUACAGUACCAGUCAAAAGUUUGGACACAACUACACAUUCAAGGGUUAUUCUUUAUUUUUAACUUUUUUCUACAUUGUAGAAUAAUAGUGAAGACAUCAAAACUAUGAAAUAACACAUAUGGAAUCAUGUAGUAACCAAAAAAGUGUUAACCUGUUUAGGAUAGGGGGCAGUAUUGACACGGCUGGAUAAAAAACAUACCCGAUUUAAUCUGGUUACCACUCCUACCCAGUAACUAGAAUAUGCAUAUACUUAUUACAUAUGGAUAGAAAACACCCUAAAUUUUCUAAAACUGUUUGAAUGGUGUCUGUGAGUAUAACAGAACUCAAAUGGCAGG
rnacentral:lncRNA from 1 species